rnacentral:rRNA from 1 species
GCCCAGUGACACCAGUUUAACGGCCGCGGUAUUCUGACCGUGCAAAGGUAGCAUAAUCACUUGUUCUCCAAAUAAGGACUUGUAUGAAUGGCCACACGAGGGUUUUACUGUCUCUUACUUCCAAUCAGUGAAAUUGACCUUCCCGUGAAGAGGCGGGAAUAAAAAAAUAAGACGAGAAGACCCUAUGGAGCUUUAAUUAACUAUUCCAAAAGUUAAACAAUUCAACCACAAAGGGAUAAAACAUAACUUAACAUGGACUAGCAAUUUCGGUUGGGGUGACCUCGGAGUACAAAAAAACCUCCGAGUGAUUUUAAUCUAGACAAACCAGUCAAAAUAACCAUAACAUCACUUAUUGAUCCAAAAUUUUGAUCAACGGAACAAGUUACCCUAGGGAUAACAGCGCAAUCCUAUUCUAGAGUUCCUAUCGACAAUAGGGUUUACGACCUCGAUGUUGGAUCAGGACACCCAAAUGGUGCAACCGCUAUUAAAGGUUCGUUUGUUCAACGAUUAAAGUCCUACGUGAUCUGAGUUCAAACCGGA